AGUGAACGCUGGCGGUAGGCCUAACACAUGCAAGUCGAACGGCAGCACAGUAAGAGCUUGCUCUUACGGGUGGCGAGUGGCGGACGGGUGAGGAAUACAUCGGAAUCUACUUUUUCGUGGGGGAUAACGUAGGGAAACGUACGCUAAUACCGCAUACGACCUACGGGUGAAAGCAGGGGAACUUCGGACCUUGCGCGAUUGAAUGAGCCGAUGUCGGAUUAGCUAGUUGGCGGGGUAAAGGCCCACCAAGGCGACGAUCCGUAGCUGGUCUGAGUGGAUGAUCGGCCACACUGGAACUGAGACACGGUCCAGACUCCUACGGGAGGCAGCAGUGUGGAAUAUUGGACAAUGGGCGCAAGCCUGAUCCAGCCAUACCGCGUGGGUGAAGAAGGCCUUCGGGUUGUAAAGCCCUUUUGUUGGGAAAGAAAAGCAGCAGGUUAAUACCCCGCUGUUCUGACGGUACCCAAUGAAUAAGCACCGGCUAACUUCGUG
rnacentral:rRNA from 1 species